rnacentral:rRNA from 1 species
CCUACGGGAGGCAGCAGUGGGGAAUAUUGGACAAUGGGGGGAACCCUGAUCCAGCGACGCCGCGUGAGUGAAGAAGUAUUUCGGUAUGUAAAGCUCUAUCAGCAGGGAAGAAAGAAAUGACGGUACCUGACUAAGAAGCCCCGGCUAACUACGUGCCAGCAGCCGCGGUAAUACGUAGGGGGCAAGCGUUAACCGGAUUUACUGGGUGUACAGGGAGCGUAGAAGGCGAUGGAAGUCUGAUGGUAAAGGCGGGGGGCCAACCCCCGGACUGCUUUGGAAACUGUAUGGCUGGAGUGCAGGGGAGGUAAGUGGAAUUCCUAGUGUAGCGGUGAAAUGCGUAGAUAUUAGGAGGAACACCAGUGGCGAAGGCGGCGUACUGGACUGUAACUGACGUUGAGGCUCGAAAGCGUGGGGAGCAAACAGGAUUAGAUACCCGUGUAGUC